CGGGUGAGUAACGCGUGGGUAACCUGCCUCAUACAGGGGAUAACAGUUAGAAAUGACUGCUAAUACCGCAUAAGCGCACAGAAUCGCAUGAUUCGGUGUGAAAAACUCCGGUGGUAUGAGAUGGACCCGCGUCUGAUUAGCUAGUUGGUGGGGUAAAGGCCUACCAAGGCGACGAUCAGUAGCCGACCUGAGAGGGUGAUCGGCCACAUUGGGACUGAGACACGGCCCAAACUCCUACGGAAGGCAGCAG
rnacentral:rRNA from 1 species